UACAGAGGUCUCAAGCGUUGUUCGGAUUCAUUGGGCGUAAAGGGUGCGUAGGCGGCGCGGUAAGUCGGGUGUGAAAUCUCGGAGCUUAACUCCGAAACUGCAUUCGAUACUGCCGUGCUUGAGGACUGGAGAGGAGACUGGAAUUUACGGUGUAGCGGUGAAAUGCGUAGAUAUCGUAAGGAAGACCAGUGGCGAAGGCGGGUCUCUGGACAGUUCCUGACGUGAGGCACGAAGGUCAGGGGGAGCAAACGGGG
rnacentral:rRNA from 1 species